GAGGAGAGUAUCCUAAGGCCAGCGAGAGAACUGUUGUUAAGGAACUCGGCAAAAUGACCCCGUAACUUAGGGAUAAGGGGUGCCGCCAUCAGGUGGCCGCAGAGAAUAGGCCCAAGCGACUGUUUACCAAAAACAUAGGUUUCUGCUAAGUCGCAAGACGAUGUAUAGGAGCUGACGCCUGCCCGGUGCUGGAAGGUUAAGGGGAUCUGUUA
rnacentral:rRNA from 1 species